CUAAGUUGCUCUUCUGCUGAAUUAAACAGGUACAGCAUAUGUCAAUAAGUGAUAUAAGGCAAAUACAACAAAUGUCUGAAAAUCAUGCUUUGGUAAAAGUAUUGGAGGACUUAACUGUGUUUAUCAAAUUGAAGGAAGACUAUAUGAGAAUGAAACAGACUUUGGAGUGCGGCAGAAGUACGGUAGCUUCCAAUCCUAGCUGCAGAGCCCUAUGACCCUGGGUAUGGGGCUUCUUAUACAAACC